CUUGACAUCCCCUGACCGCGUAUGAAAGUACGUUUUCACCCUCGGGUGACAGGGAGACAGGUGGUGCAUGGUUGUCGUCAGCUCGUGUCGUGAGAUGUUGGGUUAAGUCCCGCAACGAGCGCAACCCCUACGUUUAGUUGCUAACGCGUGAAGGCGAGCACUCUAGACGAACUGCCGUUGACAAAACGGAGGAAGGUGGGGAUGACGUCAAAUCAUCAUGCCCCUUAUGUUCUGGGCUACACACGUGCUACAAUGGCCGGUACAGACGGACGCAAAGCCGCGAGGUGGAGCAAAUCCUAAAAAGCCGGUCUCAGUUCGGAUUGCAGGCUGCAAUUCGCCUGCAUGAAGUCGGAAUCGCUAGUAAUCGCAGGUCAGCAUACUGCGGUGAAUACGUUCCCGGGCCUU
rnacentral:rRNA from 1 species